rnacentral:rRNA from 1 species
UACGUAGGGUGCAAGCGUUAAUCGGAAUUACUGGGCGUAAAGCGUGCGCAGGCGGUGAUGUAAGGCAGUUGUGAAAUCCCCGGGCUCAACCUGGGAACUGCAUCUGUGACUGCAUUGCUGGAGUGCGGCAGAGGGAGAUGGAAUUCCGCGUGUAGCAGUGAAAUGCGUAGAUAUGCGGAGGAACACCGAUGGCGAAGGCAAUCCCCUGGGCCUGCACUGACGCUCAUGCACGAAAGCGUGGGGAGCAAACAGG